GACGAACGCUGGCGGUGUGCUUAAUACAUGCAAGUCGAACGGGACCUUCGGGUCUAGUGGCGGACGGCUGAGUAACACGUAGAUAACAUGCCCUUUACUGGGGGAUAACACCGGGAAACCGGUGCUAAUACCGCAUAAGCCUGAGGUUGAAAUACUUUUGGUUAAAGAUUUAUCGGUAAAGGAUUGGUCUGCGCCUGAUUAGCUUGUUGGUAGGGUAAAGGCCCUACCAAGGCAAUGAUCAGUAGGUUGGUCNGAGA
rnacentral:rRNA from 1 species